UACGUAGGGACCGAGCGUUGUCCGGAAUCAUUGGGCGUAAAGAGCGUGUAGGCGGCUUGUUAAGUCUUGCGUGAAAUCUCGGGGCUCAACCCCGAGCGGUCGUGAGAAACUGGCAGGCUAGAGUGCGGGAGAGGAGAGUGGAAUUCCUGGUGUAGCGGUGAAAUGCGCAGAUAUCAGGAAGAACACCGAUGGCGAAGGCAGGUCUCUGGGCUGACACUGACGCUCAUGCACGAAAGCGUGGGGAGCAAACAGG
rnacentral:rRNA from 1 species